UAUAUAUAUAUAGACAGCUCUAAUCCAAAGUGCAGGUCACGUCACUGCGCAAAAUAUCAGAACGCAACUCUUCAUCACAGUUCGCGCCUUUAGUCACUGCGUCUUCACAGUCCGCAGCGACAACCAGCAGUGCAGCAGCUUGGUUGACCGGCCGGCAGCAGUGCCUCUUUCACCUCACUACUCUCCGUCCAAACCUCAAUGAUAGCUACAGGUUGAGAGUCUCCUUUGGAGAAAAUUAAGCCACCCUUUGAAGAUUUCAUAGUUGGAAUCAGCUGUCACUCUGUUUGCAAGCUGAUGCUCGAGGAUUAGGUGUUUGACAAAAUGUCUGAACAACCCAGAGAUGAAGUGUAAAUUUUUUAUGCGAUGGACACACAACCUCUGAUUUCUGCCUAGUAUUCUUCAGAAGCGACAGCUAGGAUAUAAAAAGAAAUAAAAAUGGAACUAUCCUCUUUGUCUAAGUUUGGUUCACAAGCUCAAGGAUGGGUGCUUAUCAUUUUCGGGUCGAUUUCAUUUUUGCUAUUUGUAUAUGCUGCUGGUUUGUCCAAGUUUCUUCCAGCUUCUGGUAAUCCUAUAAUAGCAGCCAUUCAAAAUGACAGAUACUACUGCUUUUUGGUUCCGUUAACACUUCCUGUCCUUCUUGUUGCUGUAUAUUUUCAUUGGCUCAGCAUGAAGCUCUUUAAGCAUGCGUAAUGUGUGAUCAGUUACCAACCAAACGAGCCAUCUGCCUACCGUAAAGGUGAUUGUGUAAACCAUGUUAGCUGAUUGAGGAUAAUUGCCGUCAUAGUUACUCAUGCUAGUAGCCAUUUCAACUCAAGAAACCUACCAAAGCUGGGAUUUUCAUAAACUUGUGCAGCAUGGCAAAAGGUGCCUAAACCGUGAAGCAGAAAGACUGGUACAUAGUAGUUACAUGUGAAAAAGAAAACAGCAUAAGUAUAUGUUCUGAAGCAUUGCAGCCCCACUCCAAUGGUUCCUUUUUUAGAUUCUGAAUCCACCAAUAGGUAAAGAAAUAUGAAGAAUCUUGAUAAGGUUUAGAAAUGGUCCUUCUUCCCCUGUUUUUAGCACCCUGCCUUCCUUAACAUGGUGUGAACUCUUCAACAACCAUCAUAAAACAAUAGUUUCUUGCUAAGGUGAUAUAUCAUAAGCAUGCUUAACUACUAAGCUGGUAAUUUGUUGGCUAGUUUCUAUCUGCUUUAAAAAAGUAAAGAAUGUUAUGGCAGUAGUAGUUAGUUGGUCAUCUUUUGUAGCCGUUGUAUCAUUUUCCCUCUGACUUUAUAUAUUUUCUUAGACUUUGUGGGGAGUGUUGGU